rnacentral:rRNA from 1 species
GACGAACGCUGGCGGCAUGCCUAACACAUGCAAGUCGAACGAGAUCUUCGGGUCUAGUGGCGCACGGGUGCGUAACGCGUGGGAAUCUGCCCUUUGGUUCGGAAUAACAGUUGGAAACGACUGCUAAUACCGGAUGAUGACGAAAGUCCAAAGAUUUAUCGCCAGAGGAUGAGCCCGCGUAGGAUUAGCUAGUUGGUGUGGUAAAGGCGCACCAAGGCGACGAUCCUUAGCUGGUCUGAGAGGAUGAUCAGCCACACUGGGACUGAGACACGGCCAGACUCCUACGGGAGGCAGCAGUGGGGAAUAUUGGACAAUGGGCGAAAGCCUGAUCCAGCAAUGCCGCGUGAGUGAUGAAGGCCUUAGGGUUGUAAAGCUCUUUUACCCGGGAUGAUAAUGACAGUACCGGGAGAAUAAGCUCCGGCUAACUCCGUGCCAGCCGCCGCAGUAA